AUAAAGGCUAUUCUCAUCACAACGGUAGAAGCAUCGUCACAGUCCUGCAGAAUCAGACGUUUGCACAUCCACAAUGUCUAAAAGAACAGUUAAACGUAAAAACAUGAAGGUUGCUGCAGAACCAACUCAACAGCUGGUUAGUGAGGAUGUUAAGGAUCCAGGACCAGAAAAGGCAUCAAUGGCAGUAGGAAUGGCCUCACCAACUGUAAAAGUUGAGGAAGAUGGUACAGAUGGUAA